GAGGAGGAGGGUGCGGGGUCGGCGGGCGGGGUUCCCCGCCGCGGUUCCCCACCAAGGUUCCCAGCGCAAUUCCUACCGCAGCCCGGGAUCGGACCCGGCAAACGCCGCUGAAACCCACUGGGAAGCUGCGGCUGCCGGAGCCGCUCCGGCCCCGCUUGGAAGCGGCGAGGAUGUCGCCGCUGUGGGUUGUCCCGGAGCCCCCGGGGCUGCAGCAGCGCCGGGAGGGGAGGCAGAGGCAGGGAGCGAUGGAUGGAGGCUCCGGAUCGAUGCUGAGGUUUUUGUUGCCCUCGGAAAGAAAAAGGGAUGAAUGUGAGAGUGCUGGUGGCUGCGGGGUAGUGGAGAGGGAGCGGAGCGGAGCACUGGGUUCUCUUCAAAGCUCUCCUGCGCACACCCUGCGUGGUGUCAGCCGGAGUCUCCAGCCCGUGCUUUAGCCUCCAACAAGUACAGCGGGGAAACUCCUUUCCUUUCCUUCCUCUAGGCUGCCUUGCCUGGAUUGUAAUAUCCGCAAGGUAGCAACUUUUUAGGUAUAUAUAGGCAUUUUUUCCACAAUUUUCCGUAAUUUUCCACAGUUAGCACCUUAAAACGUCAGGUUUGUUGAUUGGUAUGUUUGUUACUAAUUUAAUCUGUUUCUUUGAUGUGUUAUCUUUAGGCUCUUUGUCACUGGAGUCGGGGUCUGCAUCGCCGACACCACUUUUCUGUCACGAACCUCAACUGUUUAACUCCAUUAGCAGCAAAUGCCAGAAUAUUUGGGUGGUUUUGAGCGUUAAUGAUUGCAUCGUCACAAAGCUCUUCUCAGAGUAAUAGUAUUUGGUAAUACUGUCAUUCCUACAGUUCGAAUUGGAAAACUCCAGCCCAGAAUGUGGAGGUGCCCUGCUCCAGCAAAAGAGUUAAAGGUCUGUCCACCAUGGCAGACAUGCUCCGGGAGCAGGAGCUGUGUCCCUUUAGAGACUGUAUCAUCCCACAGUCGCAGCCUGAUAGUUACAGGCUCUACCAAAAGUGGAGCAAUUUCUGCCCCAAAGUGCAAGUGCAGUUUCCAUGAAGUUGCUUGGUGGAUUUGUUAACUUGUGGAGUUUUGUUGCCUUUGUACACUGAAAAUGUUAGGCAGAAUCUUGUGUUCAUAUGAAUUAUGCUACUUGACAGAAAUCCCUUAUUUUAUAUAAUUAAUUGUUCAUUUUGCCCUUUCCUCUUUAAUAAAUAAGUUGAGAAAAAAUAAGAUUACAAAAAGAAACAAGGUGUUAAUUCCUGUUUGGGUGCUGUGAACUAGGUAUACUGCAAUCUAACAGUGUCUUAUUUUUAGUAAACCAAUUACAAUUUCACAGUAAGUCUGUGGUCAUUAGUGAGUUCGAAAUGUCAGACAAUACAAGAGCAUUCCCAUUUCUCUAAGUAUCCAUUUGGCACAUUGCUGGCUUGCUUUUUCAGGACUCAGAAAUACUACACUCAGCUUCACACCAAGGCAACGUUGGAUACAAUACAGGUGUUGUACUGAUUUACCUACGGUUGUAUAAAAUACUGGUAGUACAACUCUCUAAUGUAAACAAGCACAAAGUCAUUACUGGAAGCAAGGCAACAGGAAGAACUGCCCCAGAAACUUUAUUCCAAGAGCUCCUGCGUUUCUGACAGCCCUUGUGACAGCACAGUGGGGUAAGCAAACCAUCUGCUUUCAUCUCCCUGGCCCCUGAGCCCUUCUCAGGCUGAAGGCUCCCCUACUAGGAAGCCCAGAGGAGGCUCCUUUUUCAGUCCUUCCUCGAGGGAGCAGAGCCAGGCAGAGCUGCUUGGCCAAAAUAGAACUUUCUGGCUGGUGUCCGUGCUCAGAAGAGAUCACAACCACUGUGCUGCCAAACAUGAGGAUGGCUGAACGUGAACAGGGACUGAUGGAAGGUGUUGGGAGCAACCACGACAGCAGCGGGCAUUAGAAAGACUGAAUGCUUCAUUCCCUCCUGUGAAACUGUGAGGAAUUUAACCCUAAAAGAUGGUGGUAAGACAAGGAGCUGCCAUAGGCAUCCAUGAAGCUUCCCCAAUUAGCAAUCUCCUCCAGCACUUACCCUGCAGUCAAAUCCAAGGUCAGCAUUUGGGGGGUUGCUCAGUUUGCAGUCAAGUCAUAAAAGUGGGCACGACCUUCCCAAAGAUCUUUUCAAGCACGUCAUCCAAGACUCAAGAAAGCAUUAACUUGCACUGCUGCCAUGCCAGACAUUAAUCAGAGCAUAUAUUGCAGACAGUCUCCUCAGCAGUGUGCUUAUGUGAGUCGUAUUUGUUUUAUGGCUGUCCUGCUGAUUUCUCCCUGAUAAUGAGACCCUGUGUGCACUGCAGUAUUUGUGAGUAUAUAUUGUAGCAGCCAGGGCAGUUGUCAAAUCAUCCUAUCACAUGGAGAGGCUCAUGGCACUAAGCUGCAUUUGUAAAUUACAUAUCGUUCCAUUUGCUGUAACGUUGUUAUCAAUAAGGCUACACCAAUCCAGCAACGGGCAUUAAAAUCAAAAAGGACUCUGCAGAGGUGCCACUGGCACAGGUCACAUUCGGCUCUGCAGUGAGAGCUUGCAACAUCCCUGUCCGAGCCAGCGAGGCAUUUAAUAUCACACCUGUACCUCAGCUCCCUUGUCAGUGGCUGGGCAGCAGCUCCUGCUCAGUUAUUCGUCUUCCACAGUUGCACUCAGCUUGCCUAACCCUCAACUUCUGGUUGUUUUUGUGACAAUCUGACGUGUUCUGGUUUUCUAGAAAUGGUAAAUGAAGGUAGUUUUUCAGCCUUUAUAAAUCCACUGGUUUUUUUUUCCAUAAGGGGAGCAUGCUUCUUGCUUUGCAGUGGUGAAGGAAAUUGAUAUGGCAUUGAUAAAGGCACACUCUCUUCUUGCAGGUUUUUUUUUUUUCUUUCACACUUACUCGUCACCUGUAUUUUAACAUUGCAUGGGUUUUCUUGGCCAAACUAAUUUAAAAAAUAUAAUACAAUCAAUCAUGGUAUCUACUUUUUAAUAUUUGUUUUAUUUAUUUAUCAAUGCCCAGGAAGGAAAUCUGAGAGCCCACAUUAUAAAUUACCAGGUGUAUAGAAGUUUGUAGCAGGGUGUAUAGAGAAUGACAGUGAAAGGCCAUAAAUACCAGUGGACAGUAAGAGACAAAAUUGGUGUCUGCUUUGGGACCAGACAUAAGAUUUAUCAGACCCAGACAAAAGUCUUUAAAUCAGAAGCUGAUGUAUCCUCAGAUAAGCUGAGCAGCACUGGUAAGGUCCAGCGUAGAGUUACUAAUUUCUUAUUAAAGGAGAGGAUUUAAUUGGCGUUGCUCUAUUUGUAAGCAAAUAAUACACUGUGUUAACAAUGCACUUUAUUUUAGUAACUCCCAGAAGAGAGCUAAAUACUGCAAAAGUGUUUUGCUAUAUUAGGAUGGGGAAAUCUCAGGAUGAAAAUACUUACUAAGCAAAAACAUAACCUAAAAUAAAGGGUUUCAUACUGGAGAUGUUCUGAUACAAUUUUAGCAGCUGUUCCUCAGAAUAUGUUUUGUCUCAGGAUAAAUCCAUUUUACCUCCAACUACUGCCCUGAGAUUUGUAAGGCAGCAAUCUGCCAUACUUACCCCAUUGUCUGCAAAAGGUCUCUUAAGCAGGAUCCAUUCCUCUCUUGGGACUCGUGGGGUUGGCUGAAAUUAUUUUUAUGACAAGUGUUGUGUUCUUCAUUAGAUAAAUCAGCAAUCUCAAAGCAUAAAGGAUUCUGUCUUUUCCCACAUCUGUGGCAUAUAAUUUUGGUCUUCUCUUGACUUUUUCUUUUCCACGGGGUUUCCAAAUCAACCCAGCCUAAGCACGUAUAAGCACAAGUAUCCCAGAUGCCAGUUAAAAUAAGAAUAUCCCAAACAUCUCACUAUUCUCCAUUGCCCAUACUAAAACCUUCAUGUGUUACACAGUUCACAUUGUCAUUGCUACAAUCUCUGUUGGUGGCCUGGGUGAUACCCACUUCUGCUGUCUCAAACCCAUUCUGAUAGUUGCAGCAAUCACCUCUACUAUUCCUUUUUUAUCAGGUACUGAAUCAAAACCAAGCUUCUUGCUCCCACCUCCAAGAACCUCUGUAAUUUGGAGUGCUCACACUGGCAUCAUCUUCUAACCCUGUUGCCUACCCUCCCUGAAUGUUUUCUUCUUCCCUCACCCUGGUAUCCUUUUUGUGCUGUUGUAUUGGCCCCUUCAGCAUGGGCAUCUGUCUUGCUCUUUGCUAUGCCUCAACAUUGCCUUGAUGUUGUUCACAAUCUAGUCAGAGCAGUUGGGAUGAAGAUUUUGGUGGCAUUGGAUAGGAAGGAUUUUGGGGUGAGUCAGGGAGCUGUGUGCAGAGAGAAGUUGGGCUCAGUGGGCUCCCUCUGCUUGAUUCCUUUGGGAGCCUGAAUUCUGAACCUGUGCCAGUGAGAGCAUUCCAGCCCCAGGUAUGGAGAGAGGGAGGCUGGGGAGGAGGAGAAUGAGACAGACAAUUUUUCUGGUCAAAAAGAGCUGCUGUCAUCUCAGGGCUAUACAGUAGCCAUCUCACUGGUCGCUCCACUUCCCUCUGAUGUAUUCCAGGUGGAGGGGAAGUCCAGAGAAUGUCAUGUAAGAAAUGCAAAUAAAAAUGUCUUUCUAGA